GAGAGGAGAGGGCAGGAAGGGACCGGGAGCGGCAGGGCAGCUGGGCCCAGACUGGGGCAGGACCUGCGACGGGAGGACCUGCGGGAGAGCUACCCCGAGCGGCGCCUCGGGGUCUCGGGGCCUCCCGCGUCUACCCAGCCCCUGGGCCAGCCCCAGGAACCAGAUUCCGGGAGAAUGGGAAGAGCAGACGGAUUUACGGCCCGACCUAAAGGGCAGGAGUCUGGACCGAGACCGGGAACCAUCUGGGGUUGUACUCAAGCCGCUGCAGCCACAGCCACUAUACCACUGCCUCCUGCCCCAGGAACCUGGAUAGAUGACUGGAACACUUUCCCAAAGAACCUUGAUAGAUGACUGGAAGACCCCAUCCUGACUUCUGCCAAGGCUAGACCCUGCCCUUCUGCGGCUCCCAGGGAGGGAUGGGGUACUUAUACCAGCAGAUGGUCUGCGAACCACAGGGCAGGUGAGGAGACCCAGAAGCCUCCUCUUAGCCCUACCCCUCGCCCAACCUCCAUGAUUCCUUUCCGGAGCUUCAGGCUCCUCCUGCCUUGGGGCCUUGCAUAUGCUCCACCUUUUUUUCCAUCAUUCACUUUCAGAGGCAUUUCUGCAGUGAAACUUCUCUCUUCUGCCCCCAGGCCCAGGAAAGCAGGGCACCUCCCCGCCCCCCCAGCAUCCUGUUGCCCAUCUGUGCCAGUGCCUGCACACACUGGGGGGGGGGGGGGGGGGAGAGACCCUAUGUGUUCAUCUCUGUACCUGGCAGCCAACUAUUGCCCUUCCAGAGGGCCAGGCAGUCUCAGACCCUGCCCUUUCUAGUUGAUUAGCAAAUGCCUAAAUGACAAGUGUUUUCACAACCACUAGCUUUUUAAAAAACUCCCUAAACAGCCUGGCAGUGUAUACAGCAGAUGGCAUGAUCCCUAUUUUAAAGACAAGGAAACCAAGAGAGUACCACCUGCUCAGGAUUCACAGAGCCAGCCAGUGUCUCAGCCAAGAUUCGAGGGGGCCAAGACUCUUUCCCCCAGAGCCUAACUCCUUCUCCAUCUGCACCUUGUCCUAGCAGCCCAAAUUAAGAGGGCCAAAACAGAACUCUAAUCAUGUGGGCUCUCUCAUCCCCUUAAUUUGCUCCAACACGAACCAGGGAGUUACCCUGUUCCCCCCUCUCUCCCUCACACCAUUCCCAAGUCCUCCUGGACCUACCUCCUGAACAUCUACAACUGGCCCCCUUCUCUCCACCCUCAUGGCCACCCCUUUAGUCCAAGCCACCAUUUCUCAUUUGAAUUCCAACAGCGGUUGCCUAACUACCUCCUACCUCCCUCCAUCCUUGACCCGCUAUAGUUCAUUCUCCAUACCUUUUCCCACGGAGACUUUAAAACCUAAGUCAUACUGUGUCCCUUGACUGCUUAAAGCCCUCCAAAGGCUUCCCAAUUUCCUGAGACUGAAACCCAAGCGAGUAAGGCACAGCAUGAUCUGGCCCUGCCUUCCCCGUAGGCCUGGUGUCUGUCCCUCUCUCCUUCCCCAUGAAGCUCCAGUCACACAGGUCUUUUCUCAAGCCUCCCAUUGCAAGAUUUUUCCUACCUCAGGGCCUUUGCACAUGCAGCCUCCCCCUCCUCCCUUUUCUGGAGACUAGUCCAUUUCUUCCUUCAGGUCUUGGUUUAAAUGUCAUUCCUCAGAAGUCUUGACUAAUAGAUAAGACUUCCCAUUUAAAGCUAUUACAA